rnacentral:rRNA from 1 species
GACGAACGCUGGCGGCGUGCUUAACACAUGCAAGUCGAACGGAAAGGCCCUGCUUUUGUGGGGUGCUCGAGUGGCGAACGGGUGAGUAACACGUGAGUAACCUGCCCUUGACUUUGGGAUAACUUCAGGAAACUGGGGCUAAUACCGGAUAGGAGCUCCUGCUGCAUGGUGGGGGUUGGAAAGUUUCGGCGGUUGGGGAUGGACUCGCGGCUUAUCAGCUUGUUGGUGGGGUAGUGGCUUACCAAGGCUUUGACGGGUAGCCGGCCUGAGAGGGUGACCGGCAAAAGUGGGACUGAGAGACGGCCCAGCCUACGACGGGAGGCAGCAGUGGGGAAUCUUGCACAAGGGUCGGAAGCCUGAUGCAGCAACGCCGCGUGCGGGAUGACGGCCUGCGGGUUGUAAAACGCUUUCGCCGGUGACGAAGCGUGAGUGACGGUAAUGGGUAAAGAAGCACCGGCUAACUACGUG